GGUUCCAUAGCUCAGUUGGAUAGAGCAACGCCCUUUUAAGGCGUGGGUCAAGUGUUCGAGCCACUUUGGAAUCACCA
rnacentral:tRNA from 1 species